CCAGGCCUUGAAGCUCAAGCUGAUGGAUGUGAUUAAUGACAUGCUAGCCAAUGACAUUGCCCGGUUGAUGGUGAUGGUGUGCCAGGAAGAGUCCCUGAUGCCCUGCCAGGCUGCAAAGGGCCGUGCCUUGGACGGCACCGUUAACAGGCUCUUUGGGCACAACUACUGCGAGGGGGGCGGCAAGGACAUUUGAUGACACUGAGUGAGUGGUGGACAAGGACAAGCCCACCUAAAAAGAGCUCUUUUACAUGGCUAGUCACCUGUCAACUGCAAGGUCGUGAGUGCCCGUGCCAAGAAAGAGAUGGUGAAGUCCAAGCUGCACGAUACCGUGCUGGGGGAGGUCUGGAAGCUGGCUGAUGUGCACCAGGACAGGCUGCUGGACGAUGAGGAUUGUGCCCUGGACAGCCACUUCAUCAAAGACAAGCUGGAGGGCGGCAGGCUGCCCAGUGACCUGCCCCAAGACCUGAUCACAUCUAAGCAGAGGCACAAGUGACUGGCCCUCCCCAAGCCGCCUCCUCCCCAUUUUCAUCCUGUCAUCUCAGCACCCAGCCAGGCAGAGAUCGAGGAGGGGCGAGUCACCAGUUCUCAAGGUCCAUAAAGAGUGAGCGGAUGUUUUCUCAGCUCUUGCAAAGAACAGAAGUGAUGACUUCCAAUCUCUUUGCAUGCUGGAGCUGAAACGGGAAUCCGGAACUCUGAUUUUUAAUAUUCCAGUCCUGAGGAAGCACAUCGCUCUAUUCACACUUCAUUCGAACACCAGUAAGAAAAUCAAAGCCCCCUGGAAGACUGGGGACAACAACACUAGGAAAAGAAAGAAAGAAACUACAGAGGAAGAAGAGAAAGAUGACGGGGAAGACAAAGGAAAAAAAGAAGAAAAAGGAGGAGGAGGAAGAAAAGGAGAAGAAGAAAAAGGAGAAGGAGACAAAGAUAAUGGUAGCAACAAUAACAACAACAACAAUGAUUUAUCAUGUUUAAGCAGAUAUUCAUGGAACUUUUUACAUAUAAAAAUAAAAUAACUAUAUUUUUCAUUUUUUAAAUAUUUAAUAAAUAAAAUAUUAUAAAUAGCCUUUCCUCUCUC
rnacentral:lncRNA from 1 species